CCUACGGGGGGCAGCAGUAGGGAAUUUUCGUCAAUGGGCGCAAGCCUGAACGAGCAAUGCCGCGUGAACGAGGAAGGUCUUCGGAUCGUAAAGUUCUGUUGACGGGGAAAAAGAGCGGAGAGAGGAAAUGAACUCCGAUGGAUAUUACCCUUCGAGGAAGUCACGGCGAACUACGUGCCAGCAGACGCGGUAAUACGGAGGUGGCGAGCGUUAUCCGGAAUGAUUGGGCGUAAGGGUUGCGUAGGCGGCCUGCUAAGUCUGGGGUGAAAGGUACCGGCUGAAGCGGUAUAGGCUCGGGAAACUGGCGGGCUAGUGAGAAGGAGAGGGCGGUGGAACUCCAUGUGUAGCGGUA
rnacentral:rRNA from 1 species